rnacentral:rRNA from 1 species
AUUGAACGCUGGCGGCAUGCCUUACACAUGCAAGUCGAACGGCAGCACGGGGCAACCUGGUGGCGAGUGGCGAACGGGUGAGUAAUGCAUCGGAACGUGCCCAGUCGUGGGGGAUAACGCAGCGAAAGCUGUGCUAAUACCGCAUACGAUCUAUGGAUGAAAGCGGGGGACCGUAAGGCCUCGCGCGAUUAGAGCGGCCGAUGUCAGAUUAGGUAGUUGGUGGGGUAAAGGCCCACCAAGCCAACGAUCUGUAGCGGGUCUGAGAGGAUGAUCCGCCACACUGGAACUGAGACACGGUCCAGACUCCUACGGGAGGCAGCAGUGGGGAAUUUUGGACAAUGGGGGCAACCCUGAUCCAGCCAUGCCGCGUGAGUGAAGAAGGCCUUCGGGUUGUAAAGCUCUUUCGGCCGGGAAGAAAUCGUAUGGGCUAAUACCCUGUGCGGAUGACGGUACCGGCAUAAGAAGCACCGGCUAACUACGUGCCAGCAGCCGCCGUAACAC